GUGGGUGUCGUCAAGAGGCCUAAGACACAGGAUUGUGAUUCCUGCAUUCGAGGGUUCGAAUCCCUCCAUCCACCCCA
rnacentral:tRNA from 1 species